rnacentral:rRNA from 1 species
AUAAUGGGUCAGCGACUUAUAUUCUGUAGCAAGGUUAACCGAAUAGGGGAGCCGAAGGGAAACCGAGUCUUAACUGGGCGUUAAGUUGCAGGGUAUAGACCCGAAACCCGGUGAUCUAGCCAUGGGCAGGUUGAAGGUUGGGUAACACUAACUGGAGGACCGAACCGACUAAUGUUGAAAAAUUAGCGGAUGACUUGUGGCUGGGGGUGAAAGGCCAAUCAAACCGGGAGAUAGCUGGUUCUCCCCGAAAGCUAUUUAGGUAGCGCCUCGUGAAUUCAUCUCCGGGGGUAGAGCACUGUUUCGGCAAGGGGGUCAUCCCGACUUACCAACCCGAUGCAAACUGCGAAUACCGGAGAAUGUUAUCACGGGAGACACACGGCGGGUGCUAACGUCCGUCGUGAAGAGGGAAACAACCCAGACCGCCAGCUAAGGUCCCAAAGUCAUGGUUAAGUGGGAAACGAUGUGGGAAGGCCCAGACAGCCAGGAUGUUGGCUUAGAAGCAGCCAUCAUUUAAAGAAAGCGUAAUAGCUCACUGGUCGAGUCGGCCUGCGCGGAAGAUGUAACGGGGCUAAACCAUGCACCGAAGCUGCGGCAGCGACGCUGAUGCGUUGUUGGGUAGGGGAGCGUUCUGUAAGCCUGUGAAGGUGUGCUGUGAGGCAUGCUGGAGG